CGGUCUCAGUUCAGAUUGCAGGCUGCAACUCGCCUGCAUGAAGUUGGAAUUGCUAGUAAUCGCGAAUCAGAAUGUCGCGGUGAAUACGUUCCCGGGUCUUGUACACACCGCCCGUCACACCAUGGGAGUCGGAUAUGCCCGAAGCCGGUGACCUAACCGCAAGGAAGGAGCCGUCGAAGGUGGAGCCGAUGACUGGGGUGAAGUCGUAACAAGGUAAC
rnacentral:rRNA from 1 species